AUGUUGGGCCUCAUGUUGGGCCUCAUGUUGGGCCUCAUGUUGGGCCUCAUGUCGGGCCUCAUGUUGGGCCUCAUGUUGGGCCUCAUGUCGGGCCUCAUGUUGGGCCUCAUGUCGGGCUUCAUGUUGGGUCUCAUGUCGGGCCUCAUGUUGGGCCUCAUGUUGGGCCUCAUGUUGGGCCUCAUGUCGGGCCUCAUGUCGGGCCUCAUGUUGGGCUUCAUGUUGGGUCUCAUGUUGGGCUUCAUGUUGGGUCUCAUGUUGGACCUCAUGUUGGGCCUCAUGUCGGGUCUCAUGUCGGGCCUCAUGUUGGGCCUCAUGUUGGGCCUCAUGUUGGGCCUCAUGUUGGGUCUCAUGUUGGGCCUCAUGUUGGGUCUCAUGUUGGACCUCAUGUUGGGCCUCAUGUCGGGUCUCAUGUCGGGCCUCAUGUUGGGCCUCAUGUUGGGCCUCAUGUUGGGCCUCAUGUCGGGCCUCAUGUUGGGCCUCAUGUCGGGCCUCAUGUUGGGUCUCAUGUGGGUCUCAUGUUGGGCCUCAUGUCGGGUCUCAUGUCGGGCCUCAUGUCGGGCCUCAUGUCGGGCCUCAUGUCGGGCCUCAUGUUGGGUCUCAUGUCGGGUCUCAUGUCGGCCUCAUGUCGGGCCUCAUGUCGGGUCUCAUGUUGGGCCUCAUGUCGGGCCUCAUGUUGGGUCUCAUGUCGGGUCUCAUGUUGGGCCUCAUGUCGGGCCUCAUGUUGGACCUCAUGUCGGGCCUCAUGUUGGGUCUCAUGUUGGGUCUCAAGUUGGACCUCAUGUCGGGCCUCAUGUUUGGUCUCAUGUUGGGUCUCAUGUCGGGCCUCAUGUCGGGCCUCAUGUCGGGUCUCAUGUCGGGCCUCAUGUCGGGUCUCAUGUCGGGCCUCAUGUUGGGCCUCAUGUCGGGCCUCAUGUUGGACCUCAUGUCGGGCCUCAUGUUGGACCUCUGUCGGGCCUCAAGUUGGACCUCAUGUUGGGUCUCAUGUUGGGCCUCAUGUCGGGUCUCAUGUUGGGCCUCAUGUUGGACCUCAUGUUGGACCUCAUGUUGGGCUUCAUGUUGGGCCUCAUGUUGGGCCUCAUGUCGGGCCUCAUGUCGGGCCUCAUGUUGGGUCUCAUGUUGGGUCUCAUGUUGGGCCUCAUGUCGGGUCUCAUGUUGGGCCUCAUGUUGGGCCUCAUGUUGGACCUCAUGUUGGGCUUCAUGUUGGGCCUCAUGUUGGGCCUCAUGUCGGGCCUCAUGUCGGGCCUCAUGUUGGGUCUCAUGUUGGGUCUCAUGUUGGGCCUCAUGUUGGGCCUCAUGUUGGGCCUCAUGUCGGGCCUCAUGUCGGGUCUCAUGUCGGGUCUCAUGUCGGGUCUCAUGUCGGGUCUCAUGUUGGGCCUCAUGUCGGGCCUCAUGUUGGACCUCAUGUCGGGCCUCAUGUCGGGCCUCAUGUUGGACCUCAUGUCGGGCCUCAUGUUGGGCCUCAUGUUGGGCCUCCAGCUUCUCCGCCUCUGCACAGACACGAACCUUCAGUCUGCGAGUGGCGUGCAGGUCACGACCGGCUCGGCUCAACAUGAUAAUAAUAAUUAAAUAUGCAUAAAGAUCAUAUCGCCUAUUAACUGAGUCGAUCAACAAAUCAAUCGGCAAAUGUUUUGAUAAAUGUUGAUAAUAAUUAGUAAAAAUAACAAAAUGACCAAAAUUUGAUGGUUACAGCUUCUCAAAAUGAGGCAUUUGAAGAAUGUGUUGGACAUUUUUUUUAAAUUAUUUUGACAUCUUAUAGACUAAUCAUUCAAUCAAUUGAUCCAGAAGAACUGACACGUCAUCCCUGUGUGGCAUUUCUCUUCAUGUAAACGUUAAGUUAAUCCAUUUCGAGAUUUUAUUUUCUUAUUCUAACGUCUUCUUUCCAUUCCAUCACAUUUAUUUUCUGUAAAAGGUUUUUACAGUUGAAGUAUGUUAAAUGUCUAUGUUGUCACAUUUUAUGCUUGUUGGUUGAUGAAACCGUAAAAUGCAGCGAACUGCAAACCAUAAAAAUGAUAUUAUAUUAUUAUAAAUAUUAUUAAAUAAUGUCAAAUAAUGUGGAACAUACACUGACGUAGAAAUUUUUUCCAGUCGGUUGGGUUUUAUUUGAACAAAAGAAUAUUAAAUAAAUAGAAAAAAACUUGUGUUUGCUUUUCUUUGCACCGUGCAGGAACAACCCGAGUCGUUCCGGGACGACCUGCACUCUGCACAUUUCGCCUCCUGGUGUGAACCUGCUAUUUGGAAAAGGCAGAGAAGUGGACCAACGUGACCGACUGGGAGGGAGUUAACGUUCCGCAAUGACAUAUUUCAUGUUUCCAUGAAAUUCCACUUGCUGGGGCAGGACCGGAGGCCCGACGGGGGGAGGAGGGGGAGGAGGGGGAUGCCCCGCCUCCGCCCUGGAUCCUACUGCAACACUGCUGCUUGUCAGGGACCAACUUCCCCCCUCGAGGAUUUCUAUCAACCAACCGACCGUCAGGACGUCACGUCACCCGAUCAAACGUGUAGCAUUAAUCCAGUGGCGACCGAGUCUAAAUCAACAAUCCCUGAAAUCGCGAACGCAAAAUGUGGGAGGUGAAUUCUUGCAGAUUCACGGACGCAGUGUUCUCCCCUCAUCGUUGAGGUUCGUCCGAUUCCUCAUGAGGAGAAACGGCUUCUUCGACGCCCACAAACGUGUUCGUGCUCAAACCGUCGUGAAAUCAUGUGACUGUGAUCAUGCAAAACAAAUAAUGGUAAUAAUGGUACAUUAGGCAACACUAGAAGGACAUGAGUCCUCCUCCGCUGCGAUCUACUGUAACUGACUUCUUGUUAAUUCAUUCGUCGAAGAUAUGAGAAUUAUCACCAAACUCUAUGGCAACUAUGAAGCUUUUCAUGCUCAAACUAAUGUGUAUAUAUAUAUAUAUAUAUAUAUAUAUGACGAUGGAAUUUUUAAAAAAGUCCCAUGGUAUAUAUUUUAUAUAUACUGUGUAUAUAUAUAUAUAUAUAUAUAUAUAUAUAUAUAUAUAUAUAUGUAUAUAUAUAUAUCAUGUGACGAUGGAUUUUUUUCCAUGGUAUAUCAUUUAUCUUGUCGUGCUGCAGAUCACACUCUUCAAGGCAACAUCUUUUCGUCACUUUGGCGGCGCUUUGUGUCGUCUCCUACGCAGACAGGAAAUGUACAUGAAGCCAAAAAACUAACUCUUGGUUCGUUUUAGGUGUUUUUUUCUGCCCCCCACUAGUCAAGAGCUGCUUGAUGCAGCUUUCAAAUGUGACGCGAAACUGUUUAAGUGGCGGAGGACGGAGAAAAACCCUGAAAGGUUUACGACAGAGUCCAUUUUUGUAGCAUUUCGGUAAAUAAACAGUCCAAGACGUGCAGAUUUUAAAACUGUAAAUGAAACGUGAGCUUAGAUAUGAGGCGACGUUUGAAGCCAGAAUAAAAGACAAGCACUGACACCAAAAAAUAUAACAUUGCAUUUCAGAGGAGAAUGAAAAAGCAUAACACGACACUGAAGUUGGCUUGUGACUCAACAGUUAAAGGGGAAACUUAAGGGGAAACUUUAAGGACAAUAUUGGGUGACUGAGGGGUUUUAGAACCUUCUCGUUAAAACGUUGACCCUGUUUGAAAAACAAGAUUUGUGAAUCUCACUGUAUCUCUACUCCCCAUCGAGACCAUUGGACCAGGUCCAGACCAAAACCCAGGGCAGAAUAAAAACUGAUAAAAACAAAGUUUUUAGAUUUGUAAAAAACCCUUAUUCCAUUUGCAAAAAAACAACAAAAGGAUGAAUUAACAGCUUUAGACCACAACGGACCAGGUCCAGACCUACAACCAUGUUACACAGAAACUGUGUUAACUGAUUUGACAGGUCCUACAUGGGUAGUGGUGUUUCAUGUAGACCACACUGGACCAGGUCCACACUGGACCAGAUCCACACUGGACCAGAUCCACACUGGAACAGGACCACACUGGACCAGGACCACACUGGACCAGGUCCACACUGGACCAGAUCCACACUGGAACAGGACCACACUGGACCAGAUCCACACUGGACCAGGUCCACACUGGACCAGGACCACACUGGACCAGGUCCACACUGGACCAGAUCCACACUGGAACAGGACCACACUGGACCAGAUCCACACUGGACCAGGUCCACACUGGAACAGGACCACACUGGACCAGAUCCACACUGGACCAGAUCCACACUGGACCAGGUCCACACUGGACCAGGACCACACUGGACCAGAUCCACACUGGACCAGGACCACACUGGACCAGAUCCACACUGGAACAGGACCACACUGGACCAGGACCACACUGGACCAGGUCCACACUGGAACAGGACCACACUGGACCAGUCCACACUGGACCAGAUCCAAACUGGAACAGGACCACACUGGACCAGGACCACACUGGACCAGGACAACACUGGACCAGAUCCACACUGGACCAGGACCACAACUGAAACUGUGUUAAUCUACACAGUCCAGACCUGGUCCAACGUGGGGAAAUGUUGAAAUCAUUCUCAAAUCAAACAAACAUGAAAUUCUGUUUUAAACAGUGUUAGAGCUUUAACCAAGAAAGAUGUCAAUCACCCAAAACUGAAUCUCAGUCAUUUGAUUUUCCCCUUAAUUUAGUCCCUUAACUGUGGAACAAUCUGAGGUUGUUAGUAUUUGUUGUAUAUAUCUACAUGUUAUGAGUAUUUGAUAUAUAUAUAUAUUUACAUGUUAUGAGUAUUUGAUAUAUAUAUAUAUUUACAUGGUAUGAGUAUUUGUUCUAUAUAUUUACAUGUUAUGAGUAUUUGAUAUAUAUACUUACAUGUUAUGAGUAUUUGAUAUAUAUAUCUACAUAUUAUGAGUAUUUGAUAUAUAUAUUUACAUGUUAUGAGUAUUUGUUCUAUAUAUUUACAUGUAUGAGUAUUUGUUCUAUAUAUUUACAUGUUAUGAGUAUUUAAUAUAUAUAUAUAUUUACAUGUUAUGAGUAUUUGUUAUAUAUAUUUACAUGUUAUGCAUAUU
ensembl:lncRNA